rnacentral:rRNA from 1 species
UACAGAGGUCUCAAGCGUUGUUCGGAUUCAUUGGGCGUAAAGGGUGCGUAGGCGGCGCGGUAAGUCGGGUGUGAAAUCUCGGGGCUUAACUCCGAAACUGCAUUCGAUACUGCCGUGCUUGAGGACUGGAGAGGAGACUGGAAUUUACGGUGUAGCGGUGAAAUGCGUAGAUAUCAGGAGGAACACCGGUGGUGUAGACGGCUUUCUGGACCGUAACUGACGCUGAAACACGAAAGCGUGGGUAGCAAACAGG